AUUGAACGCUGGCGGCAGGCCUAACACAUGCAAGUCGAGCGGAUGAAUGGAGUUUUCUCCUGGAUUCAGCGGCGGACGGGUGAGUAAUGCCUAUGAAUCUGCCUGGUAUUGCCGGAUAACGUCCUGAAACGGGCGCUUAUAUUGCAUACGUCCUUAGGUCGCAAUUGGGGGAUCUUCGGACCUCACGCUAUCUGGUGAGCCUAGGUCGCUUUAACUAGGUGGUUGGGUAAAGGCCUACCAAGGCGACGAUCCGUAACUGGUCUGAGAGGAUGAACAGACACACUGGAAGUGAGACACGGUCCCGACACCGACGCGAGGCCGCAGUGGGGAAUAUUAGGCGAUGGGGGAAAGCAUGAUACAGGACUGCCGCGUGAGAGAAGAAGGAGUUAGGAUUGUAAAGCACUUUAAGUUGGGAGGAAGGAAAGUAAGUUAAUCCCUGACUGUUAUGACGUUACCGACAGAAUAAGCACCGGCUAACUUCGUG
rnacentral:rRNA from 1 species